UUUCCGUAGGUGAACCUGCGGAAGGAUCAUUAAAGUUAUAGUCCCCCGGCCCUCUGGGCUGGGGUCUUCUAUGCCACCCUUUGUUCAUUACGCCUUUGUUGCUUUGGCAGGCCUGCCCUCGGGCUGCGGGCUCCGCCCGGCUCGCGUCUGCCAGAGGACCUAAACUCUGAUUGUAUAUGAAUUGUGAGUACUAAAUAAUAGUUAAAACUUUCAACAACGGAUCUCUUGGUUCUG
rnacentral:misc_RNA from 1 species